UGCGUAGGCGGUCGGGUAAGUCGGGUGUGAAAUCCCAGAGCUUAACUCUGGAAGGGCAUCCGAAACUACUUGGCUUGAGAGCUGGAGGGGGGACUGGAAUUCUCGGUGUAGCGGUGAAAUGCGUAGAUAUCGAGAGGAACACCUGUGGCGAAGGCGGGUCCCUGGACAGUUUCUGACGCUGAGGCACGAAAGCUAGGGUAGCAAACG
rnacentral:rRNA from 1 species